rnacentral:rRNA from 1 species
CCUACGGGAGGCUGCAGUGAGGAAUAUUGGUCAAUGGGCGCGAGCCUGAACCAGCCAAGUAGCGUGAAGGAUGACUGCCCUACGGGUUGUAAACUUCUUUUAUAAAGGAAUAAAGUGAGGCACGUGUGCCUGUUUGUAUGUACUUUAUGAAUAAGGAUCGGCUAACUCCGUGCCAGCAGCCGCGGUAAUACGGAGGAUCCGAGAGUUAUCCGGAUUUAUUGGGUUUAAAGGGAGCGUAGACGGGUUGUUAAGUCAGUGGUGAAAGUUUGCGGCUCAACCGUAAAAUUGCAAUUGAUACUGGCAGUCUUGAGUACAGUUGAGGUAGGCGGAAUUCGUGGUGUAGCGGUGAAAUGCUUAGAUAUCACGAAGAACUCCGAUUGCGAAGGCAGCUUACCAAACUGCCACUGACAUUGAUGCUCGAAAGUGUGGGUAUCAAACAGGAUUAGAUACCCGAGUAGUC